GGUGACCGAUCCCACAAUAAAUAAUGCUGUCCUUUAAGCGGCAAGAAAAAUUUCCGGCAUAGUUAGUUUAGAUGGAGGGGACCAAUCAUCUAAACAGCCCUUGGAAGUUAUAGUUCAUCCCUGAGGUGCGACCUAAAAAAGGGACCUAAGCUAUCCCAGGCACCCCAACUUAUUGCUCUAUGCCAGAUCUAAACCUGGGAACCAC
rnacentral:lncRNA from 1 species